CCAAAAGAAUCAGGGCAAACCGCAAUAAUGACACUAAGAUAGCUAAAGAGGAUCUUGCUACCAGCUCCAAGCAAUCGAAAGACAGUUCUUCCUUCCAAGUGGAUUCAACCAAGAACCAUCUGCCCACAAUCUGCAAAAGAAACAAUGGUGAGAACUACAGAAUCUUGUUGAUGGACAUUGGAGAUGAAAACAAACGAGCUUGGUUAACAGAGGUAUUUAGAUAAAAAAUAUAGUUGACUCAGAUGUGUUUUUCUAUUCACCUUAUGUUGUCUUCUGGUUUCUUAUUACAACAGGUAAUAAGAAAACUAGGUGGGGAUGUGACCAUGGACGGCAACAUGAGCACACAUAUUGUCACUGGAAAAGUCAGAAAAACGCUUAACUUCU
rnacentral:lncRNA from 1 species